UGAUAUCUGCUGGUAUUGAGGACAGUGACCAAGAUCUACAUCCAUGUCUUGUACAAGAUAUCUGCUGGUAUUGGGGACAGUGACCAAGAUCUACAUCCAUGUCUUGUACAAGAUAUAUGCUGGUAUUGGGCACAGUGACCAAGAUCUACAUACUCUUGCAAGUUCAGUAACCUGUAUAUACAGACAGUGAAUCUACCCGCAUACCUUGUCUCUGUUUUUUGGAGACUGUGAACAAGACGUACCUGCAUACCUUGUCUGUGGACACAGCAAAGGACAUCAUUUACAGUGUACCUUGGUUAAAAUAGGCCUUGGAAGUAGGGCAAGUUUUCAAGGAUUGGUCCUGAGGUUUGUCCAGUUUUUAGACAGUGUAUUCUUCAGACUAUUUUAUGUAAAACAUUAUAGUUCAGACUGUGCUGUAUUUUAUACAGUUUUUGUGAAAGCAAGUUAAAAAACAGGCUUGAAACUUGUAUAGUGACACAUGUUUCGACUGUGAUGAAAUAUCUCUGAACAGAAUGAAUACAAAUUAUAAAAAUAAGAACUCUCACACAAGUCUUUUUCUUUGACGCUUAGUUUAUACUGAAAAAUAUAAGCCUGCUGCCCCUGCUGUUAGGCGUGACCAGAAGAGAAAUGGCAGUGGUUAACUUUAAGGUGUUCAAGAGUUGUCAUGUUAGGUACAUAUCUACUCAGUAAAUGUGAGGAAUAGCUUACUCACCAAUCAUUUGUCACUUGGUGCACCAACUAAAUGGGGACAGUUUAAUGUUUGUCAGAAUUUGACUACCACCUCAUUUCUAGAAUAUCUGAAAAGGGAGAUCUUCUUUAUAUCAAUUGGUUAUCUAUCCAUGUUUUGACCUUGACCUCUAUUGUAAAAGGUGAAGGUCGUCCUGAAGGUCAUAGACUGAAAAUAGCUUGUUUGUUUACCAGGUCACUUGACGUUCCCUGAAGAAGCAUCUUUUCUGUAGGUUUAAUGAAUAUUCAACGUAGACUGUUUAGGAGGUGAUGUGGGCAAGCAGAUAAACUUGAUGGUGGCCUCCAUAUUAGGUCACUGGCUCUGGGAAGGAAAAUUGUAAAGCAUACAUAUGUAAGUUUGUAGCUCAGCUGUUGGGAGUCACCUUAUAUCCUUCCUCAAAAUAACUGGUGUCAUUUCUAAACAUUCACUCAUAAACAACUUGACUGAUGUGCAACUGAUGACACUGACAGUUUGCCCGCUCCAAUGACUUGUUAUUGAGAUUUUGUCAGAACAAAGUUUCAAAGUAUCUGCUAUACCAACAUUAUCCUGCUUAUUCAUUACUCAAUAAUCUCCGUUUUGACAUAAUUUUUGGAAGUGUCAUAAAUGUUUAGCUAGUAGUUGUGAGAACCUUUAAUGUGAUGAACUCUGACUUUGAUUUGACCUUUACAAUUUUAACUUGUUUUUAUAUUCCUAGCUCUGUACUUGUCUUGAACGUCUUGACUGAUAACAGAGGACAUGCACAUACUUCAUGAAGGAAAAGCAUGUUGUUUAGGCCAUGCAAAUUUUAUUGUUUUUAAAUUUAUAACAGAUAUUUUUAAAAGAAUUAUUCACGCUAUUCUGAAGAACCACCUUGCACAGAAAACUGUUGUUUGUUCCAGGUAUGAUAGUGCUGUAGAUGAUGAUGCUUCAAGGUCAAGUCAUUCAACAAAGCAUGUGUAUGUAGGUCAUGAUGCUUCAAGGUCAAGUCAUGCAACAAAGCAUGUGUAUGUAGGUCAUGAUGCUUCAAGGUCAAGUCAUGCAACAAAGCAUGUGUAUGUAGGUCAUGAUGCUUCAAGGUCAAGUCAUGCAAAAAGCAUGUGUAUGUAGGUCAUGAUGCUUCAAGGUCAAGUCAUGCAACAAAGCAUGUGUAUGUAGGUCAUGAUGCUUCAAGGUCAAGUCAUGCAACAAAGCAUGUGUAUGUAGGUCAUGAUGCUUCAAGGUCAAGUCAUGCAACAAAGCAUGUGUAUGUAGGUCAUGAUGCUUCAAGGUCAAGUCAUGCAACAAAGCAAGUGUAUGUAGGUCAUGACGCUUCAAGGUCAAGUCAUACAAUAAAUCAUGUAUAUGUAGGUCAUAUGUUACAGCUGAAUCCUAGUUGAGUAGUCAGUAAUAGCUAAAAAGAACAAUCUUAUUGAACGUGUUUCAUAUGGACCGUGUUCAAAUUGUCAUGUUUUGCAAACCAGCAAAGUAGGUAUGAGUAGAUUUACAGACAGAUGUGUAAACUGACAUAGGUGUGUUUUCAUCUGAAUGUUGACUGAGUCUCCAAUGCCAGCCAUUAUGAAAGUGCUAUGAUGGACAAUUACUUUUCCAUAUGUGUUGUUUAUGUUUUGAUAUUUUUGUGUCAGGUGACAUGUUUCAUCACAAGCAAUCAGCGUUUCACUUCAGCAAGAGGUGUGAGCAGCACUAAAAUACAUUAUUCCUAAAUAUUGU
rnacentral:lncRNA from 1 species